rnacentral:snoRNA from 1 species
UUGCUACAAGAUGAGACGUAUUAUCACAAACAGUUAUCCCUGUCUGAACUUUCUUGUUGACUUUAUUUCACUCUGAUUCGCAA